GAUUCGUCACACUAUCAUUAACUGAAUCCAUAGGUUAAUGAGGCGAACCGGGGGAACUGAAACAUCUAAGUACCCCGAGGAAAAGAAAUCAACCGAGAUUCCCCCAGUAGCGGCGAGCGAACGGGGAGGAGCCCAGAGCCUGAAUCAGCAUGUGUGUUAGUGGAAGCGUCUGGAAAGGCGCGCGAUACAGGGUGACAGCCCCGUACACAAAAGCGCAUAUGCUGUGAGCUCGAUGAGUAGGGCGGGACACGUGGUAUCCUGUCUGAAUAUGGGGGGACCAUCCUCCAAGGCUAAAUACUCCUGACUGACCGAUAGUGAACCAGUACCGUGAGGGAAAGGCGAAAAGAACCCCGGCGAGGGGAGUGAAAAAGAACCUGAAACCGUGUACGUACAAGCAGUGGGAGCACCCUUUGGGGUGUGACUGCGUACCUUUUGUAUAAUGGGUCAGCGACUUAUAUUCUGUAGCAAGGUUAACCGAAUAGGGGAGCCGGAGGGAAACCGAGUCUUAAUUGGGCGUUAAGUUGCAGGGUAUAGACCCGAAACCCGGUGAUCUAGCCAUGGGCAGGUUGAAGGUUGGGUAACACUAACUGGAGGACCGAACCGACUAAUGUUGAAAAAUUAGCGGAUGACCUGUGGCUGGGGGUGAAAGGCCAAUCAAACCGGGAGAUAGCUGGUUCUCCCCGAAAGCUAUUUAGGUAGCGCCUCGUGAAUUCAUCUCCGGGGGUAGAGCACUGUUUCGGCUAGGGGGCCAUCCCGGCUUACCAACCCGAUGCAAACUGCGAAUACCGGAGAAUGUUAUCACGGGAGACACACGGCGGGUGCUAACGUCCGUCGUGAAGAGGGAAACAACCCAGACCGCCAGCUAAGGUCCCAAAGUCAUGGUUAAGUGGGAAACGAUGUGGGAAGGCCCAGACAGCCAGGAUGUUGGCUUAGAAGCAGCCAUCAUUUAAAGAAAGCGUAAUAGCUCACUGGUCGAGUCGGCCUGCGCGGAAGAUGUAACGGGGCUAAACCAUGCACCGAAGCUGCGGCAGCGACACUGUGUGUUGUUGGGUAGGGGAGCGUUCUGUAAGCCUGCGAAGGUGGCCUGUGAGGGUUGCUGGAGGUAUCAGAAGUGCGAAUGCUGACAUAAGUAACGAUAAAGCGGGUGAAAAGCCCGCUCGCCGGAAGACCAAGGGUUCCUGUCCAACGUUAAUCGGGGCAGGGUGAGUCGACCCCUAAGGCGAGGCCGAAAGGCGUAGUCGAUGGGAAACGGGUUAAUAUUCCCGUAC
rnacentral:rRNA from 1 species